rnacentral:rRNA from 1 species
AGUGAACGCUGGCGGCAGGCCUAACGCAUGCAAGUCGAACGGCAGCACAGUAAGAGCUUGCUCUUACGGGUGGCGAGUGGCGGACGGGUGAGGAAUACAUCGGAAUCUACUUUUUCGUGGGGGAUAACGUAGGGACACUUACGCUAAUACCGCAUACGACCUACGGGUGAAAGCAGGGGAUCUUGGGACCUUGCGCGAUUGAAUGAGCCGAUGUCGGAUUAGCUAGUUGGCGGGGUAAAGGCCCACCAAGGCGACGAUCCGUAGCUGGUCUGAGAGGAUGAUCAGCCACACUGGAACUGAGACACGGUCCAGACUCCUACGGGAGGCAGCAGUGGGGAAUAUUGGACAAUGGGCGCAAGCCUGAUCCAGCCAUACCGCGUGGGUGAAGAAGGCCUUCGGGUUGUAAAGCCCUUUUGUUGGGAAAGAAAAGCAGCAGGUUAAUACCCCGCUGUUCUGACGGUACCCAAAGAAUAAGCACCGGCUAACUUCGUG